rnacentral:rRNA from 1 species
GAUGAACGCUAGCGACAGGCUUAACACAUGCAAGUCGAGGGGCAUCGGGGAGUAGCAAUACUCUGCCGGCGACCGGCGCACGGGUGAGUAACGCGUAUGGAACCUGCCCUGUACAGGGGAAUAGCCCAUGGAAACGUGGAUUAAUGUCCCAUAUGACAUUCGGGAGGCAUCUUUCGGGUGUAAAAUUUUCGGAGGUACAGGAUGGCCAUGCGUCCUAUUAGAUAGUUGGCGGGGUAACGGCCCACCAAGUCGAUGAUAGGUAGGGGUUCUGAGAGGAAGGUCCCCCACAUUGGAACUGAGACACGGUCCAAACUCCUACGGGAGGCAGCAGUGAGGAAUAUUGGUCAAUGGGCGCGAGCCUGAACCAGCCAAGUCGCGUGAGGGAAGACUGCCCUAUGGGUUGUAAACCUCUUUUAUUCGGGAAGAAUAAGCCUUACGAGUAGGGUGAUGCCUGUACCGAAUGAAUAAGCAUCGGCUAACUCCGUGCCAGCAGCCGCGGUAAUACGGAGGAUGCGAGCGUUAUCCGGAUUUAUUGGGUUUAAAGGGUGCGUAGGCGGCCUGUUAAGUUAGUGGUUAAAUGUCGGGGCUAAACCCCGGAUUGCCAUUAAAACUGGCGGGCUCGAGUACAGACGAGGUAGGCGGAAUAAGUCAAGUAGCGGUGAAAUGCUUAGAUAUGACUUAGAACUCCGAUAGCGAAGGCAGCUUACCAGGCUGAGACUGACGCUGAAGCACGAGAGCGUGGGUAGCGAACAGGAUUAGAUACCCUGGUAGUCCACGCCGUAAACGAUGCUCACUGGUUCUUGGCGACAAACGGUCGGGGAUCAAGCGAAAGUAUUAAGUGAGCCACCUGGGGAGUACGUCGGCAACGAUGAAACUCAAAGGAAUUGACGGGGGCCCGCACAAGCGGAGGAACAUGUGGUUUAAUUCGAUGAUACGCGAGGAACCUUACCCGGGUUUAAAUGUUGAUGGACUUAAUUGGAAACAGUUAUUCUCUUCGGAGCCGUCAUCAAGGUGCUGCAUGGUUGUCGUCAGCUCGUGCCGUGAGGUGUCGGGUUAAGUCCCAUAACGAGCGCAACCCUUACCGUCAGUUGCCAUCAGGUAAAGCUGGGGACUCUGUCGGGACUGCCACCGUAAGGUGAGAGGAAGGCGGGGAUGACGUCAAAUCAGCACGGCCCUUACACCCGGGGCUACACACGUGUUACAAUGGCCGGUACAGAGGGCAGCUACCUGGAGACAGGAUGCGAAUCUCGAAAGCCGGUCGUAGUUCGGAUUGGAGUCUGUAACCCGACUCCAUGAAGUUGGAUUCGCUAGUAAUCGCGCAUCAGCCAUGGCGCGGUGAAUACGUUCCCGGGCCUUGUACACACCGCCCGUCAAGCCAUGGGAGCCGGGGGUGCCUGAAGUCCGUAACCGCGAGGGGCGGCCUAGGGCAAAACUGGUAACUGGGGCUAAGUCGUAACAAGGUAGCCGUACCGGAAGGUGCGGCUGGAACACCUCCUUUCUGGAGUUUGGUUGUUGGAAUCGUGCUUGCUGGUUGAAACCUUUAAAUAUAUGGUCACAAGUUUUUGGAACAUGGAAAAGGUUCGAUUCCUUUUGACUUGUCAGUUUCCCUUUCCGAAGGGAUGCAGUUCUUUGACAUAUUGGAAAGAGAAGACGGAUUAUAAUAUAAUCCGCAACAGAGAUUUGCGCAUAUGCAUGGAUGUAUAUGCGCGGAUAACGAGCAAAAAGAAUCCGUCCGAUGGCAGUGAUGCCGGGAUGGACGGACGAGUAAGCUAAAGUAGAAAUUAAAGUAAGCGAACAAGGGCGUAUGGUGGAUGCCUAGGCUCUCAGAGGCGACGAAGGACGUGAUAAGCUGCGAUAAGCCGCGGGUAGGUGCAAAUGACCUUAGAUCCGCGGAUUUCCGAAUGGGACAACCCGUUGCAUUGAAGAUGCAUCAUGCCGUAAGGCAGGCAAACGCAGGGAACUGAAACAUCUAAGUACCUGCAGGAAUAGAAAACAAACGUGAUUCCCCCAGUAGCGGCGAGCGACCGGGGAUUAGCCCAAACCGCGGAUGUUUCGGCAUCCGCGGGGUAGUAGGACCGCGACAUUGCUGAAAAGUACGAAAUGGAACGUCUUGGAAAUGGCGAUCAUAGAGGGUGACAAUCCCGUACAUGCAAGUACGUGAAGCAUAGCGGUAUCCUGAGUAAGUCGGGACACGAGGAAUCCUGACCGAAUCCGCCGGGACCAUCCGGCAAGGCUAAAUACUCCUGAGAGACCGAUAGUGGACA